AUUGAACGCUGGCGGCAUGCCUUACACAUGCAAGUCGAACGGCAGCAUGGAGAGCUUGCUCUCUGAUGGCGAGUGGCGAACGGGUGAGUAAUGCAUCGGAACGUACCGUGUAAUGGGGGAUAACGUAGCGAAAGUUACGCUAAUACCGCAUACGACCUGAGGGUGAAAGCAGGGGAUCGCAAGACCUUGCGUUAUACGAGCGGCCGAUGUCAGAUUAGCUAGUUGGUGAGGUAAAGGCUCACCAAGGCGACGAUCUGUAACGGGUCUGAGAGGAUGAUCCGCCACACUGGGGCUGAUACACGGCCCAGACUCCUACGGGAGGCAGCAGUGGGGAAUUUUGGACAAUGGGUGCAACCCUGAUCCAGCCAUGCCGCGUGAGUGAAGAAGGCCUUCGGGUUGUAAAGCUCUUUCGGCCGGGAAGAAAUCGCACAGGCUAAUACUCUGUGUGGAUGACGGUACCGGCAUAAGAAGCACCGGCUAACUACGUGCCAGCCGCCGCGGUAA
rnacentral:rRNA from 1 species